UGGGGAAUAUUGCACAAUGGGCGGAAGCCUGAUGCAGCGACGCCGCGUGGGGGAUGAAGGCCUUCGGGUUGUAAACUCCUUUCGACAGGGACGAAGCUUUUGUGACGGUACCUGUAUAAGAAGCACCGGCUAACUACGUGCCAGCAGCCGCGGUAAUACGUAGGGUGCGAGCGUUGUCCGGAAUUACUGGGCGUAAAGAGCUCGUAGGUGGUUUGUCGCGUCGUCUGUGAAAUUCCGGGGCUUAACUCCGGGCGUACAGGCGAUACGGGCUGACUUGAGUGCUGUAGGGGAGACUGGAAUUCCUGGUGUAGCGGUGAAAUGCGCAGAUAUCAGGAGGAACACCGAUGGCGAAGGCAGGUCUCUGGGCAGUAACUGACGCUGAGGAGCGAAAGCAUGGGUAGCGAACAGGAUUAGAUACCCUGGUAGUCCAUGCCGUAAACGGUGGGCGCUAGGUGUAGGGGGCUUCCACGUCUUCUGUGCCGUAGCUAACGCAUUAAGCGCCCCGCCUGGGGAGUACGGCCGCAAGGCUA
rnacentral:rRNA from 1 species